UUUUUUUUUCACACCGCUUUGAUCUCGUUGAUUCUUUUAUCGCAUUGUUAAAUUCGGGCUUCUUCGUAGUGAAGUAAGGUGGAAGAAGAUUAUUUCUUGGAAUAUAAGGCUAAAGGGGCGACGAAGCGAACUUGGUUACGGUUAACCUAUAAAAGGUACAGAUAGUCGGUUUGGUGACCCUUCAGCAUAGGACUUCUACUCAGCUAUCUUGGAGAGCUCCGUUGUUUCGGAGUUUAGACUUUCAGUACAGAUCUUGUGAGAUAUAUAUGUAUAUGUUAUCCAGGGGUACGGCGGGGCCCUGUCCCGUCAUAUGUUACUGUUGAUACUCUUAGAGGUCUGUAGACAUAUGUGUGGGUUGUGUAUGGGUUCUGUUCAGCUGUGUCUAUACGAUGUGCUGUGGUAUGAUGUUCGUCUAUAAUGGCAGCCUUGUCGGCUUGCAUAUGAUAUUGAUAUGUGAUGGCGGCCUUGUCGGCUUGCGUAUUAUUUCAUGAUAUGAUCAGUUGUGACUCCUCAGGAGACAGUGUAUCUGAAUAUACAUAUAUGAUGAGGCUAUGAACCUUCAGAGUUCUUUCGUAAAGUUCCAUAUUGUUCGUAGUUUCAGUUGGCUAUAUCUGAUAGGUAUG